CUGCUGUGGUGGGGAUUCAACAAUUCUGAAGGGAGGGUUUGGGCAACAACCUUGAAAUACCUGCUCAACCUCCCUCAAACAAGAGCUUAGUCCAUAGAUGUUCCAGGCUCAAAACUAUGCAUAUACAGUAAUACAGAGAAGACGAGAGCUGGCAAUGCUUUUCUUGAUAUUCUGUAUUCACUAAACGAAGAAGAAGAACCAUACCUUCUGCAUCAGCGGCAGCCAACGGUGUUUAUGUUCCUCGUUUUAAGCUGAAACAGUUACAGGGCAACUCUCCUUUGGCAUGCUAGAUUUAUGUUUUGUUGAAGCAACAAUGCAUGCCAAUAAAGAGUAGCCCUAUCACUGUUUCACUUACAAGUUGAUUCUUGUUUCUGCUGCUAUUUUGUUAUGGUUUUCACUGCUUAAACCUAGGUACCAUGCUUUAUAUAUAUAUAAGGAACUCUAAUAUCUGUUUCAAUGAACAGAAUAAACCAUGGGUGGAUCAGCAUAUCCAGUCACAGUUAUGCUGUGGAUCUCUCUCCACUUGCUGCUUUUCUGGUCAGAAACUUUUAUCUUUCCCACCCCAUUUCUUGAAAGCUCCUUUUGUUUACAAAGUUAUCAGAUUCCUCCCUGAAAUUAUAUUUGUUUGUGGGGUGCAGAAAAAGUGGUUCAAAUCUGAUGCUUUAUACUUUUACCCUUUGAAAUGUCUCAUGAG